GCCUGUGAACCCACGACCCGGCAAGCGCCAGAUCCCGUCUGAUCUUGGAUGCUAAGCAGGUGUGAGCCUGGAUAGUGCUUCGUUGGACGACCACCGUGCAUAAACCGGGUGUCAUAGGCU
rnacentral:rRNA from 1 species